UUUUUUGGGGGGGAGAGUAAGAACGGUAAAAAGAAAAACUGAGAGCGGAGAGAUUGAGAGUGGGGACAGCGAGAGAAAAACUGAAAGAGAGAGCUGGGGUUAGGGGUGAUAGGAAGAAAAAGGGCUUAGAAGAUCCAAGAAAACGAGAGAGGGAAUCGGGGAGGCAAAGGGGGCGGCUGAGAAGAAAAUCUGGAGCGGCUAAGAGGGAAGAAAGGAUACGGCGGAGAGCAAGGAGGAACCGCCAACCCUCACGCCAUUUAGCAGCUGCGGACCUUCAUCAAGAAAAGCUCGCAUACCGUAAGUGGUUCUUCUUUUCCUUAUUUCAGUAUCUUGAAGCUUCCAAGCAUGAAUUUGUACGUGGGGUAUUAUGUGUAUUCUGAAUAUGUGUGAUGGAAAACCUAUGACUCCAGAAAGCUGUUAACUUUCAUGUUUUUCUUUCCUCCGUAAGCAGCAUGCCCAUGAUCCGUGAGUUGCAAAUUCAUUCCUAGUGUCUUUUCUUUACGAUUUGGGUUUAGGAAGAUUAACAAGGGUCUGCCGCAACAGGCCUUGACUUUGUUUUGUUUUGUUGCGGCGGUUUUUAAAAAAGACAACCUCUUUGGUCUGCUGAAUUUUUUCUGGAGUAGAUUAAAUUGUCUCUUGGGUGUUUGUUUGUUGUUAGAUAGUAUCCCAUGUGUGUUUAGCUACCAUUGUUUAAGUAGCAAAGGGUGGAGUAUUUUUGGAUUGCCACAAGUAGCUAAAAGCUGUUGCAGCCGUGACUUUCCCCCUGCUUGAUUAAGUUUUGUUCUGUUGGGAUUUGGAUACUAUGACAGCAGCCUUGCACUUUCGGGUGGUUGAAGCUUUUGCAUUGUUGAAAUGUGUGAUUUGUUUUGCCAUAUGAUUGGAAUACCGUGUGCACGUAUGCCAUGAGGUAGAAUCAUGUUUUGAAGUAGAGUUUAGUUGCAUGUUUAGACAAGGAUCAAAUGCCUGCUGGAAAAUGAAUUUCAGAUUGCCGAAAGCUUCAUAGCUUGCUGAAUUUUUGUUGCAGCAUGUUACGUUGUUUGGCAUGAAUAUUUCCUUGAUUCUGCAUCUUUUCCUUUUGCGUUUUACUGGUUUGAAUACCAAAGUUGUGCUCAAAAAAUCUGGGCUAAAGGAAAUGAAAUGCAGCAGUAACAUUAUUGGCAAAUGACAUGACUGGCCAUGGACGCAAGUUCCAGUCUUUCUUCUGUUGCAUUUGUAUUCCGUUGCUUGAACUGAAUUUUCAGUGAUAAUUUGAAGUCUUGCAUUAGAUUGUAGUUGUUGAAUUGGAAGGUUUUGCAUGGGUUGCUUGACUUUUCACAUCUAGGCACAUAACCAGAGGCUGCUGAAAUUUCAGACCAAUAGGGAAAGCUACGCUUAUCCUUACGUUGCCGCUGUUUGUUUUUCUGUUGCAACAGUUCACAAGCUGGGUUUGUGCAUCCAAUUUGCUAGUUAAAUCUUGUGUUAAGUGGAUUAAUGAAGAGGUUGCAUGUUUGAGCCUAAAAUGUUUGAAUCAUGUUUGAGCAUUUGCUGGAAAAUGCACUUCAGUUUGCUGAACCAGAAACUCACGGCUUUGUCUUGUUGUUUUCUUCCAUAUUCGGUUCCAAGCUUUGCUGAUUUCGUUAGAUUAUAGUUCCAGCAUGUUUCUUCUAAGUUUGGUUGCAUGAAUGUGCUUGAUUUGAAUAAAGAAUUGGCAUGAACAUGGUUGUAAGGGAAGAGAUUUGCUGAAGUUCUAAAAUGUUGCAACAAUUUAUUUAUUGGAAUUCAUUGCAGAAACUUUUUUUUUUUUUUUCACUUUCGUUCGUAUGAAGGCUGCAUUAAUUUCAUGUUUUUUGAUUUGGGUCAACGAUUUCUGGUUUGAUGAACUUGAUUCGUGUGAUGGAAUGGAUGUAAUUGUAGCUGGAAUUGGCCGCAAGUUUUGUGAAAAGGCAACAAGUUUUUGUAGCUGCAGAAAAUUCUGUUUCUUACGUAGUUGCAUGCAUGAUCAAGAAGGGAAAAUUGUACUUUGUUCCCUCUAGUCUCUAGCUAUGCUCCAAAGGCCCAUUUAUGUGUUUUGUUCUUGCAAUUGGGUCCUAAAACAUUUACACUUUAACCCCCCAAGUUCCCCCCUUGUCUUGGUAUGGUCCAAUUAGUUGAAUAAUUUAAUCACUUUUGUCAUUCUAGAAUCCUAAUUGCUCUUGGUAUGCUUUGACGUGAUUUUGGGUAAGAUGUUUAGUGAGUUUUAGGAUGCAUUUUGAGGUUCAAUCAGUUUAAUAGAUUUUUUUAGGCUUGGAUUUGUAUUCUAAUCACAUUUUGCAUUUGAGUUUAGUAGGUCUCAUUUUCAGCCAUUACUUGACCUUUUCUUUGCCUUCGGAUUUUUGAAGUUUCUAGAGGUACUUGAUUUGAGCUUGAAUGCUUGGUUAGUGUUCACCAUUGAGUCUUUGGUAGCAUUAAUGUUUCAAUUCAAUUGCUUGUUGGCCUUCAUUGGUUACCAUGUUUUGCUAAGGUGAUGUUCGAUGCAUGGAUUUGUGAACCUUGUGUCUAAAUGAGCUUGUGGUUGCCUUUUUUUUAAUUUCCCUAAGUAAGUUGAUUAAUUGACCUUUUCAUGCUCAUGAACCUUUUGAGUUCUAAAAUGUUUCAAAUGGUCUUGAUGGUUUGGUUAAGGGUUGCUUUUGGAUCCUUAGGUAGUUUUGCUAUUUCAGAAAUUUGAUCAAUAACUCACUCUUGCUUAGAAUUCAUGCAUUAUUUGAUCAUUUCUAAGUUGCAAAGUGAAAGAGGAUUAGAUGUUCGACGAAUUCUGAUUGUUAUUCUAUCAUUCCAUUGGUGCAUUAAUCCUUUCCUUAAAAUGGUUUUAGCCCAAAUUAGCUUCUUCUUUAGUGACCAUAGCCCAAGCUGAGUCUUGUUCACCUUACUAGCAUUACACACGGGGGGAAGGUACAACUUCUUUUAUCCCUUUUUGUCUCUCCUAUGUGAUCUUAUGUGUUAUGUGAAUAUGCCUGUCUACUUCGCUUUCCUUAUCUCCUUGCAUGCAUUUACUUGCUUUUACUUUUAUUUAAGUUUUAUGGGGUAUGUGUACACCUCUUGGCUUGUAAUAGAUAGGGCUCGGAGAGCAUCUGGUCCAUUUCCCCUUCCCCUUUAUGCUUUUAUGGGGUAUGUGUACACCUCUUGGCUUGUAAUAGAUAGGGCUCGGAGAGCAUCUGGUCCAUUUCCCCUUCCCCUUUAUGCUUUUAUGGGGUAUGUGUACACUCUUGGCUUGUAAUAGAUAGGGCUCGGAGAGCAUCUGGUCCAUUUCCCCUUCCCCUUGGUUGCUUGUUUUUGUUGCUACAUGUUUAAUUGCUUUGGUAGGCUCUUGCAUCUAGUCGAGCAUGCUAAGUGCUACGUGUUACGUGUUUACGAGCGUUUUGGCAUGUCUACUUGCUUUCAUAGCCAUGAAUGAAUGAAAUGGAUGAAUGUACGUUUCCGCUAGUCCAACGCUAGUCGGAAUUCAUAGAAUGGGCUAGUCCAACGCUAGACCCUUAAGGAUUUUCCCUCGUUAGCACAUCAUUUGCUUGUUCACCACAUAUCACGCAUUUUUCUUAGUUUUAUCAUUUGGCAUGAUCCUCGAACCUCUUUCCCCUCAUUUUAGGUUUUGCAUCCCAUACUAGCUAUAGGGUUCAUUUUGCUUGAGUGUCCCCUUCCGAUAAGGGAAACGAGCGAGUGUGGCUACUCGAUAGCCUUAGCACGCUAGUUUUGCCUUCUAAUCAAAGGGAAAAUAGAAGUCGAAAAGUUAGGAGUCAACCCCCGUAC
rnacentral:lncRNA from 1 species